UAACUCGUGAAGCAACAUCUCAGAAUUGAAUCGGGGAGUUGUGUAUUUGCUGGCAAUCCGGGCCUGCUUGGAUCAUUUUGGAAGAUACAUACGCCUGCGCUUUUCAAAGCGGACAGACGUGCCCGUGUCCAACUUGACAAAGGCGGAAUUAUUUUAGGAAAGACCAUGGCAACUAGUAAAGCAGAAUCCGAGAAUUCAAUCGGCGGCUGUAUGUUGACUGACAAGAAUAUAAUUGCUGUUAAUCCGGCCCUGCUUCUUGUACAAAUGCAUAGUGGGGAGACAUGAACAUUUUUCGAAAUUGCGGCCCUAUCCUCUUGGGAUUUUACGUUGGACAAAUUCUGAAAACGACCCAGAAAUAUAAUUGGAGGUUCAAACCCGUGCGAGGUGAGGUUUGAUAUAUGAAACAGACCAGUCAUGGGGACACGAGAUAUGGAAAGUUUCAGCGUAGUCGUCGCCAAAUCAGGAAUAUUGAGACUUAGACCAGUAUCUUUUUAAGUAGGCAUGUGGGGUAAAGAAGACGCAGAAGCUUCAGUCGGGCACCUUCGGUAACGUAGGCGGUUGAUAUAUUUCCACCACUACAUAUGUUGGAUUGGAAUUUCCCAUUUGAUGCUUUGACUGACUAAAUGAGGAAACUUGGAGAUAUUAUUGGUGGUGCCUGCCAGCUUCCAGUUCCGAGAAAAGAAAUCCAACACUUUUCGUCUUUAUUUCCCCUGUCCUUUGUGCGCAAUAAAAGUACAGUUUGUACCCGCGAGGGUACACAUUCGCAGAAUUAUAUGUUUUUAAAAUAAAUGUUUUGGUCAAUAUUCACUAGGUGGGGUUACCUUAUUAAAGAAAAUCUUUUUCCAAGAGGGGACACUAGUUUACAUUCGAACCGCUAGGGGGUGCAGAUGGUCACGCGAACAAUAUGAACA